rnacentral:rRNA from 1 species
GACGAACGCUGGCGGCGUGCUUAACACAUGCAAGUCGAACGGAAAGGCCCUGCUUGCAGGGUACUCGAGUGGCGAACGGGUGAGUAACACGUGGGUGAUCUGCCCUGCACUUCGGGAUAAGCCUGGGAAACUGGGUCUAAUACCGGAUAGGAGCCAUUUUUAGUGUGAUGGUUGGAAAGUUUUUUCGGUGUAGGAUGAGCUCGCGGCCUAUCAGCUUGUUGGUGUGGUAAUGUCCUACCAAGGCGGCGACGGGUAGCCGGCCUGAGAGGGUGGCCUGCGACCUUGGGACUGAGAUACGGCACAGACACCUAAGGGAGGCAGAAGUGGGGAAUAUUGCACAAUGGGCGCCAGCCUGAUGCAGCGACGCCGCGUGGGGGAUGACGGCCUUAGGGUUGUAAAAUCCUUUCGCUAGGGACGAAGCUUUUUGUGACGGUACCUAGAUAAGAAGCACCGGCUAACUACGUG